CGCAGAUACCAGGUGGCUGCAACUGUUUAUUAAAAACACAGCACUGUGCAAAAUCGCAAGAUGACGUAUACGGUGUGACGCCUGCCCGGUGCCGGAAGGUUAAUUGAUGGGGUUAGCGCAAGCGAAGCUCUUGAUCGAAGCCCCGGUAAACGGCGGCCGUAACUAUAACGGUCCUAAGGUAGCGAAAUUCCUUGUCGGGUAAGUUCCGACCUGCACGAAUGGCGUAAUGAUGGCCACGCUGUCUCCACCCGAGACUCAGUGAAAUUGAAAUCGCUGUGAAGAUGCAGUGUACCCGCGGCUAGACGGAAAGACCCCGUGAACCUUUACUACAGCUUGGCACUGAACAUUGAACCUACAUGUGUAGGAUAGGUGGGAGGCUAUGAAGACGUGACGCCAGUUGCGUUGGAGCCGUCCUUGAAAUACCACCCUUGUAUGUUUGAUGUUCUAACUUAGACCCAUUAUCUGGGUUGAGGACAGUGCCUGGUGGGUAGUUUGACUGGGGCGGUCUCCUCCCAAAGAGUAACGGAGGAGCACGAAGGUGGGCUAAUCACGGUUGGACAUCGUGAGGUUAGUGCAAUGGCAUAAGCCCGCUUAACUGCGAGAAUGACGGUUCGAGCAGGUGCGAAAGCAGGUCAUAGUGAUCCGGUGGUUCUGUAUGGAAGGGCCAUCGCUCAACGGAUAAAAGGUACUCCGGGGAUAACAGGCUGAUACCGCCCAAGAGUUCAUAUCGACGGCGGUGUUUGGCACCUCGAUGUCGGCUCAUCACAUCCUGGGGCUGAAGUCGGUCCCAAGGGUAUGGCUGUUCGCCAUUUAAAGUGGUACGCGAGCUGGGUUUAGAACGUCGUGAGACAGUUCGGUCCCUAUCUGCCGUGGGCGUUGGAAGAUUGAAGGGGGCUGCUCCUAGUACGAGAGGACCGGAGUGGACGAACCUCUGGUGUUCGGGUUGUGUCGCCAGACGCAUUGCCCGGUAGCUAAGUUCGGAAUUGAUAAGCGCUGAAAGCAUCUAAGCGCGAAGCGAGCCCUGAGAUGAGUCUUCCCUGAUACUUUAAGUAUCCUAAAGGGUUGUUCGAGACUAGAACGUUGAUAGGCAGGGUGUGUAAGCGUUGUGAGGCGUUGAGCUAACCUGUACUAAUUGCCCGUGAGGCUUAACCAU
rnacentral:rRNA from 1 species